rnacentral:rRNA from 1 species
AUUGAACGCUGGCGGCAUGCCUUACACAUGCAAGUCGAACGGCAGCGGACCUUCGGGUGCCGGCGAGUGGCGAACGGGUGAGUAAUAUAUCGGAACGUACCUUUCAGUGGGGGAUAACGUAGCGAAAGUUACGCUAAUACCGCAUAUUCUGUGAGCAGGAAAGCAGGGGAUCGCAAGACCUUGCGCUGAUUGAGCGGCCGAUAUCAGAUUAGCUAGUUGGUGAGGUAAAGGCUCACCAAGGCGACGAUCUGUAGCGGGUCUGAGAGGAUGAUCCGCCACACUGGAACUGAGACACGGUCCAGACUCCUACGGGAGGCAGCAGUGGGGAAUUUUGGACAAUGGGCGCAAGCCUGAUCCAGCCAUGCCGCGUGAGUGAAGAAGGCUCGGUGUAAGCUCUUCGUCGGAGAAUACGCACAGU